GUUAGGAAUAUUGGGCAAUGGUCGGAAGACUGACCCAGCCAUGCCGCGUGCAGGAAGACGGCCCUCUGGGUUGUAAACUGCUUUUAUCUGGGAAGAAAAAGGCCAUGCGUGGCAAAUUGCCGGUACCAGAUGAAUAAGCACCGGCUAACUCCGUGCCAGCAGCCGCGGUAAUACGGAGGGUGCGAGCGUUGUCCGGAUUUAUUGGGUUUAAAGGGUGCGUAGGCGGCUGAUUAAGUCAGCGGUGAAAGACUUCGGCUUAACCGGAGCAGUGCCGUUGAUACUGGUUAGCUUGAGUGUUGGAGGGGUACAUGGAAUUGAUGGUGUAGCGGUGAAAUGCAUAGAUACCAUCAGGAACACCGAUGGCGAAGGCAUUGUACUGGCCAACAACUGACGCUGAUGCACGAAAGUGUGGGGAUCGAACAGGAUUAGAUACCCUGGUAGUCC
rnacentral:rRNA from 1 species